rnacentral:lncRNA from 1 species
GGGUUGGUGUGUUGGAGGUCUUGUACUAGAAACCCUGCGUGAGCGUGAAAGUUAAUUUUUGCUCGAUUGUGUGCAAGAGUUUUGGUGGAGUUAGGUUUCUGGGAAGGUUAUUUGUUACUGGGUUAGUGGGGAGUAAUUUGAGGGAUUUGGGAGCUGUUUUUUAUUUUAUUCUUUUUUUCAAAAUAUUCUCCCUCUUUCUAGAAAAAAAUUGACGUCAAAUUUGUGUUGUUUCCCUUUGCUCUUUUGUUUUUCUUUUGCUGCUUUCCUUUAUUCUGUUUCGAUCGGUCGUCAACUAUCUGUAAUUUUCUUCUCCGUUUCCUUCAGU